AUACGUAGGUGGCGAGCGUUGUCCGGAUUUACUGGGUGUAAAGGGCGAGUAGGCGGGUAAACAAGUCAGAUGUGAAAUACCGAGGCUCAACUUCGGGGCUGCAUUUGAAACUGUUUAUCUUGAGUGAUGGAGAGGCAGGCGGAAUUCCCCGUGUAGCGGUAAAAUGCAUAGAGAUUGGGAGGAACACCAGUGGCGAAGGCGGCCUGCUGGACAUCAACUGACGCUGAGGAGCGAAAGUGUGGGGAGCAAACAGGAUUAGAUACCCUGGUAGUCCACACCGUAAACGAUGGAUACUAGGUGUGCGGGGACUGACCCCCUGCGUGCCGGAGUUAACACAUUAAGUAUCCCACCUGGGGAGUACGAUCGCAAGAUUGAAACUCAAAGGAAUUGACGGGG
rnacentral:rRNA from 1 species